CCAGCGGUUUCUUUCAAAACCACCGAAAAUUAUUAAAAAGAAUUCCU
rfam:Vigna radiata var. radiata cultivar VC1973A chromosome 11, whole genome shotgun sequence